GGAAGGUGAUUUGUAAGUAAACUGUAGUAGUUCCCACAAGACUUGGCAAAUAGUAGUCACUCAUGUUAUUGUAUUAGCUACUCUGCAAACAGCAUACAUGUGAUGUUCUAAAGAGACAGUUCUUAGGUUUAACCUUUAUAGUACUUUUUAACCUGCAUAACCUUUUAACCUGUAAAACCCUUUUCUUUUCUUCAAACAAGUGAAAGUAUAUAUCAUCUUCAUUACAUUUUUAGAUUGGAGGAAUAGUCCUAAAACCUUACAAGUUCGGUAUAUUUUUGUCUUUUAACCCCUUAAGGACUGAGCAAAUUGUGCAAGUUAUGAUCAAAACAGAACUUAGAAUUUGAGCUAUAUGUUUGUUCAAUCAUAAUUUACUUAUUUCAUAUUAAGUACACCCACACUUAUUAUAC